CCGAGUUUACAACUCCCAAACCCCUGUGAACAUACCUAUCGUUGCUUCGGCGGAUCCGCCCCGGUGCCUUCGGGCCCGGACUCAGGCGCCCGCCGGGGGACCCAAACUCUUGUAUUUCUUUAGUAUCUUCUGAGUAAACAAGCAAAUAAAUUA
rnacentral:misc_RNA from 1 species